GAUGAACGCUGGCGGCGUGCCUAAUACAUGCAAGUCGAGCGAAUGGAUUAAGAGCUUGCUCUUAUGAAGUUAGCGGCGGACGGGUGAGUAACACGUGGGUAACCUGCCCAUAAGACUGGGAUAACUCCGGGAAACCGGGGCUAAUACCGGAUAACAUUUUGAACCGCAUGGUUCGAAAUUGAAAGGCGGCUUCGGCUGUCACUUAUGGAUGGACCCGCGUCGCAUUAGCUAGUUGGUGAGGUAACGGCUCAACAAGGCAACGAUGCGUAGCCGACCUGAGAGGGCAAUCGGCCACACUGAGACUGAGACACGGCCCAGACUCCUGCGGGAGGCAGCAGUAGGGAAUCUUCCGCAAUGGACGAAAGUCGGACGGAGCAACGCCGCGGGAGUGAUGAAGGCUUUCGGGUCGUAAAACUCUGUUGUUAGGGAAGAACAAGUGCUAGUUGAAUAAGCUGGCACCUUGACGGUACCUAACCAGAAAGCCACGGCUAACUACGUGCCAGCCGCCGCGGUAA
rnacentral:rRNA from 1 species